rnacentral:rRNA from 1 species
AGUGAACGCUGGCGGUAGGCCUAACACAUGCAAGUCGAACGGCAGCACAGAGGAGCUUGCUCCUUGGGUGGCGAGUGGCGGACGGGUGAGGAAUACAUCGGAAUCUACUCUGUCGUGGGGGAUAACGUAGGGAAACUUACGCUAAUACCGCAUACGACCUACGGGUGAAAGCAGGGGAUCUUCGGACCUUGCGCGAUUGAAUGAGCCGAUGUCGGAUUAGCUAGUUGGCGGGGUAAAGGCCCACCAAGGCGACGAUCCGUAGCUGGUCUGGGAGGAUGAUCAGCCACACUGGAACAGAGACACGGGCCAGACUCCUACGGGAGGCAGCAGUGGGGAAUAUUGGACAAUGGGCGCAAGCCUGAUCCAGCCAUACCGCGUGGGUGAAGAAGGCCUUCGGGUUGUAAAGCCCUUUUGUUGGGAAAGAAAUCCAUCUGGUUAAUACCCGGGUGGGAUGACGGUACCCAAAGAAUAAGCACCGGCUAACUUCGUGCCAGCCGCCGCCGUAA